rnacentral:lncRNA from 1 species
AAACACAUAAAAGAUGAUACAAAAUACUAACUUCUAGUUUGAGACUUUUCUAUUAUAAGUAUAAUCCAAUUUGAUUUUCCGGAAAAUGUACAAGAUUUUUUCGGAUGCGGGAUUAAUUUAUUAUCCAUAACUUACUUCCUGUUUUAAAAAAUAUCCUCGCUGAAAAGAAAAUACAUAAAAAUUAGUUUCAAGUGAUCGGAAAUGGACCUUAAUGACUGGUAACUGACCAUUAUAAACGAUUUUACAAAAAACUUAAGUAAAUGAGCAAAUAUAGCUACUGGUAAUUAUGAAUCAAAAUAAAAAAUAUAUGCUUCACAAAAAUUGUGUUUCACAAAAACAAUCUUAUUAAAAUAAGUUCUCAUCACUUGCUCCUCGAUUUUUCUCGCCGGCGACAUAUAAAAAAUCGAGGAGCAAGUGAUGAGAACUUCAAACUUUUUUUGGUAGGGUUGAGCAUCUGAGACCUCAUGUACCCCACCCUUUUCAUAUAUUUUGUUAAUCAAAAAUAUAUUGUAACGUUUGUCAUGUUUGUGGUUCACUUUAUUUGGUUCAUUUAUUUAUUUCAUUAUUACUAUUUUGAAUUAUUUUCCCAGAAAGAUUGCUUAUUAUUAUUUUAUUACUUUCCGAUUUUUAUUUCAUUCAUUAAAUUUUAGUGACGUAACGAACCUCGCAUUAGCAUUAAAAAUGUUUCCCUUCUCAACCAAUCAGAGAGCUCGAUUGAAUUCCCGGGGAAAAUUUAGCUCGUGCAGAUAUUGUCUGCUAGAAAUCAUUCUCAGCCCAGACUUCCAGGUGUAUAGAUGUAAGGUAAAAAGGGGAAUUUUCAACCAUGUGCGCGAUAUUUUUGGAAGUGGUCUCGGUAGGAAUCACACGCUAUUUUAUAUACUAUAAUUAGUGUAUAAAAUAGCGUGUGAUUCCUUCCUAGCGUGUUACACUUGUCAGUGUAACGAAACUGGGGUACUGUCUAUGCGACCUUAAUCGAAACUUUCUAUAAACUAGACAGCAACCCAACUUUUCAUUUAAUCUAUCUCAAGGGUAGGUUCGGCCUAUGCUUUCGCUCUAGGACUUGUAUUAUAGUGAUGCCCGACUAAAAUAUAUUAAGAGUUUUAUUAGGUAUAAUUUUACCGUCUAUGCCACCAGUUUAUAAUUCAUUUAAAUAUGUGUUCUGGAACAAGAUGUCUCUGACGUUCAGUACUCUCCAAGUCUCAGUUAAGGGUGACUUCUGGAUUCUAUUACCAAAGAUAAAAAAAGAAGAUCUAGACUACUCAGAGGGCCAACCAGAUCCUAACCUUUGACCUUGACCGCAGUCGUGCUAUCCUAGUGUAGAACUUGAUGAACAACUGAAUGACAAGCUGGACUGUUACCAAAUAUAGGAUCUGGCAAACCAGUUUACCAGAGAAAUCACAGUCCUAACACUACAGUUAGGGUAGUAGUCCAGUAAUAUUCUGCACCUCUAAAAAUAUGUCUAGGUAUUUUUAUUGCUCAAGUAUGAAGUACCGUUCCACGCUAAUUCUAUAUUAUAGAUCUGUAUGGGUUGGAGUAAAACUAAAACAUUUCCAAUAAACCUGAAGGUAAACAAUAAAUAAAGGGGCAGACAGACAGACGGACCAAAUGUACAUAGCCCGACCCAACAAGUGUGGUCGUUUCAGGUACGAUACCACAAAAUAACCGACUUUUAAAACAAAUCUAUUUCAGGAUUUCCAAACCCGUAGUUGGAUUUAUAUACCAAAUACACAAGCAAUUCAGGCAAGGGACAAGGCGUUUCUCUGCAAUAAAAUAAUUCAGUAAGAUACAACUUUUAUUAAACAACACGCAUAUGAUUCAGCUGCACAUUUAAUAAGUUACAGUUUGGAGAGUCCAUGGACUAUUUCUGCAGUCUAUAACAAGAUUUCUUAGACCAAAAAUAAAUUCUUUCAGUAUCUAACUUUCUUUAACGACUCACUCUGCCGUUCUGAUCAGGGCUUGCAUAUGGAUUUCGCUUGUUAACACUUUAAUACUUAAAUUUACCGUCCUUAAGUUCAAGUCAUAGCUUUGAGUCACUCACGUAAAUGCCAACAAAUAAUGACUCCGAACUUUUACUUGCUUUAACCCGCAAGUUAUAAAUAACUUUAACCUUAACAACUGAACAGCUGAACAGUUAACCGAAUCUCGUUAUUCGCCAACUGACAACUUUUAUUCAGUUCAAAGAACUUUUCAAAAACUCAACUCAUAAUUUAACCAGCGAACCGCUUUCUAAAUAAUUCACGCCUCAACACGUAAAUAUUCAAAGUUUUCCGCUAAAUCUCCAAUGCAAACCGUGAUCAAAAACCAGCCAGUUUUAUUCACUCAAAAUAUGUACAUGAAAAUCAUAGGAGGGGGGAACUUCUUACCUAAAAAAUACUGUAAAACACAUUUUCUUCAAUACACUAAUUAUAGUAUAUAAAAAUAGCGCGUGAUUCCUACUGAGACCACUUCCAAAAAUGUUGCGCACAUGGUUGAAAAUUCCCCUUUUUACCUUACAUCUAUACACCUGGAAGUCUGGGCUGAGAAUGAUUUCUAGCAGACAAUAUCUGCACGAGCUAAAUUUUCCCCGGGAAUUCAAUCGAGCUCUCUGAUUGGUUGAGAAGGGAAAACAUUUUUAAUGCUAAUGCGAGGUUCGUUACGUCACUAAAAUUUAAUGAAUGAAAAAAAAUCGGAAAGUAAUAAAAUAAUAAUAAGCAAUCUUUCUGGGAAAAUAAUUAAAAAUAGUAAUAAUGAAAUAAAUAAAUGAACCAAAUAAAGUGACCCACAAACGUUACAAUAUAUACCUUGUCAUAUAUUAAAAUUAACAAAAAACAGAUCUAUAGAUAUAUUUCAAUAUUUUCACCGCUCAUCAUUAGUUUACGUUCUUGUUAAGAAGCAAAAUAUUACUCCAUGUAACAUCCUGCUGCACAGAACACAAAUAAGCCAACAAUCAUUUCAGGAAUUUUUGAUCAGAUAACAAACAUGACAAAUUUUCUGUUGAUUGCUUUCUACUAUCAAUUACCCUUUCUGUUAUCCAUGUAUCAUGGUUAUGUUAAUUUUAAAAGUUUGCAAGGCCAGUAAGAUAGUGCACUGAAUCUUUUAAUAGUACCUUGACUUGGGAAUUUUCCUUUAAUAAAAUAUUCACUUACAUGUCAUGCAUGUACUACAUAUAUACAUUGUACUAUCAAUAAGUUCAAAUUCCAAUAUUUGAUUAUUGUCAAUUAAAGACCUAGAUAACCAUGAUUAUAGGCAGAAUAAUCAACUUAAAAUUUGUACAAUGAUUACAAUACUUAGGUUACAAUUUUAUUAAUGAAUAAAGUGAGAGAAAAAAGAGAACAUGGAGAAAAUAUCACAAUAAACAUGAUAAAGUAUAUUUAUAUAAAUAUCAUGAUUAUGGUUUUACAUUGACAAUUACAAAAGAAUGAAAUACAUGUACAGUGAUACUAAAUAUAUAGAAAAUUAGAUUUAGACAGGUCAACAAUUCAUAAUAACCUGACUUUUUAGCUCACCUGGCCCGAAGGGCCAAGUGAGCUUUUCUCAUCACUUGGCGGCCGUCGUCCGGUGUCCCAGCCAACCAACCAAGAUGGCUGCCAUGGCUAAAAAUAGAACAUAAGGGGUAAAAUGUAGAUUUUGGCUUAUAUCUCUGAAACCAAAACAUUUAGAGCAAAUCUGACAAGGUAAAAUUGUUUAUCAAGUGAAGAUCUAUCUGCCGUCCAAUUUUCAGACAAAUCGGAUAACCUGUUGUUGGGUUGCUGCCCCCGAAUUAGUAAUUUUGAGGAAAUUUUGCUGUUUCUGGUUAUUAUCUUGAAUAUUAUUAUAGAUACAGAUAAACUGUUAACAGCAAUAAUGUUUAGCAAAGUAAGAUCUACAAAUGAGUCACCAUGACCAACAUUGUCAAUUGAACCCUUAAGGAGUUAUUGCCCCUUAUAGUCAAUUUGCAACUAUUUUUCUAAAAUUUUAGUGAUCUUUUAAAAAAAUCUCCUCCUUUGAAACUACCUGGCCAAAUUUAACCAAACUUGGCCACAAUCAUCACUAGGGUAUCUUGUUUUGAAAAUGUGUCCGGAGACGGCCAACCAACCAAGAUGGCCGCCAUGGCUAAAAAUAGAACAUAGGGGUAAAAUGUAGAUUUUGGCUUAUAUCUCUGAAACUUUUAAAAGCAUUUAGAGCAAAUCUGAUAAGGUAAAAUUGUUCAUGAGGUUGAGAUCUAUCUGCCCUCAAAUUUUUAGACAAAUCGGACAACCUGUUGUUGGGUUGCUGCCCCCGAAUUAGUAAUUUUAAAGAAAUUUAGCAGUUUUUGGUUAUCUUGAAUAUUAUUAUAGAUAGAGAUUAACUUUUAACAGCAAUAGUAUUCAGCAAAGUAAGAUCUACAAAUAAGUCAACAUGACCAAAAUUGUCAGUUGACCACUUAAGGAGUUAUUGCCCUUUAUACAUGUAGUCAUUUUUUAUGCCCCACCUACAAUAGUAGAGGGGCAUGAUGUUUUCUGGUCUGUGGCUUUGUUUUUUCGUUCGUUCAUCCGUUCCUUCGUCCGUCCGUUCGUCCUGCUCCAGGUUAAAGUUUUUGGUCAAGGUAGUAUUUGAUGAAGCUGAAGUCAAAUUAACUUGAAACUCAGUACACUUGUUGCUUAUGAUAUGAUCUUUCUGAUUUUAAAGUCAAAUUAGACUUUUGACCCCAAUUUCAUAGUCCACUGAUCAUUCAUGAACAUAGAAAAUGAAAGUGGCAGUUUCAGGUUAAAGUUUUUGGUCAACAUGGUCAAGGUAGUUUUUGAUGAAGCUGAAGUCCAAUCAACUUGAAACUUAUAAUUUAGUACACAUGUUUCCUAUAAUAUAACCCUUCUAAUUUUAAUGCCAAAUUAGAUUUUUACAUGAUUUUACGGUCCAUUGAACAUGAAAAAUGAUAGUGCAAGUGGGUCAUCCGUGUACUUUGGACACAUUCUUGUUUAACCAUUUUUCAAAAAUUUUAGUGAUCUUUUAACCUUCAAAAUGUUUUCCUUUGAAACGUCUAAGCCAAGUUCAUUAUAGAUAGGGAAAAUUGUAAACAGCAAGAAUGUUCAGUAAAGUGAAAUUGACAAACACAUUAUCAUUACCAAAACACAAUUUUAUCAUGAAUUCUAAUUUCGUCUAUAAUUUGUGUCCUUUGUGUAAUAUGCUGCUUGCAAAUAGACCAAGGUGAGUGACACAUGCUCUUUAGAGCUUCUAGUUUAGUUUAUUGGUAGCUGCCCCACUCACAUACAAAUGACAUAUUACAUGUACCGGUAAUAACCAAAUCUUAUUUUUUUUAUAUUCACAAUCAUAUCAUAAAAAGCAAGUCAACAUUUUUUAACUUAACUUAACUUGAAAAUGAUAUUUGUAAUCCAAAGUUGUAUAAAUAUUUCAUUGACCAUGUUUACAUGGGUAUAAAGAUAUGUUCUUCAUUGGAAUGGCCAGUUAAAAACCCUUGGUAAAGUUAGCUGUCUUUUUGGUUGUGCUGGAUGUAUAAAUCAAAAGAAAUGUACAUGAAUAUUACAUGUAUGUCUAAUAAAAUUUAUCAGUUGAUUAUCCUCCACAUUUGAACAUGUUGAAAAAAAAUAGUGAAAUGAUUCAAAUGGGGGAAUUUAUUUUUUUAUUUCAUUUGAAACUUGAUAGGUACAAAUUAAAUGUGUACUGGCAGUCUGGUAACAGAAAAAAGUAAGUCCAUUAAUCAUAAUGGUGAGAAGGGGGUUAAAAGCAUUGAUUUUAAUUGACUUGAAGUAGCCUGCUAUCAUCUUCUUUACUAAACAAGCAAAGCUCUGUGGCAUGUUGAGCAUUAUGAAAAUGCAGUUUGAACUUGGAAUACAACACUACCAUGAUUUAAAUAUAUGACCAAAUGUAUUAAAUUUUAAUCAAAAGAUUUCCAGACAUUUAUUAUGAUUUUUUUAAUUUUUCAAAGGUCUUGGCCAUGAAAACAGCCCACAGUAAAUGUUGAAAUGCCAUCAAAUGCAGACUUCCGUUUGAGUAUACUUGUUGGUGACACGCUAUUGCCUGAAUAUGAAAACGAUGGCAUUGUAUUUGUAGAAAGUAGUUUUUUUACACCUCACAGUUACAAGCAACAAGCUAAGGAAACUGUGAAUGGUGAGACGGAAGUCCAG